rnacentral:rRNA from 1 species
UGAGGAAUAUUGGUCAAUGGACGAGAGUCUGAACCAGCCAAGUAGCGUGAAGGAUGACUGCCCUAUGGGUUGUAAACUUCUUUUAUAUGGGAAUAAAGUAUUCCACGUGUGGGAUUUUGUAUGUACCAUAUGAAUAAGGAUCGGCUAACUCCGUGCCGGCAGCCGCGGUAAUACGGAGGAUCCGAGCGUUAUCCGGAUUUAUUGGGUUUAAAGGGAGCGUAGGUGGAUUGUUAAGUCAGUUGUGAAAGUUUGCGGCUCAACCGUAAAAUUGCAGUUGAAACUGGCAGUCUUGAGUACAGUAGAGGUGGGCGGAAUUCGUGGUGUAGCGGUGAAAUGCUUAGAUAUCACGAAGAACUCCGAUUGCGAAGGCAGCUCACUAGACUGCAACUGACACUGAUGCUCGAAAGUGUGGGUAUCAAACAGG